GUGUGUGUGUGUGUUGUAAAUAAUUCCUAAGAUUUAUAUAUAGCGUUUUUCUAGGCACUCAAAAUGCUUUACAUUGUACAGCGGAGGAGGAGGGGGGUCUCCUCAACCACCACUAGUGUGUAACAUCCACCUGGAUGAUGUGAUGGAAGCCAUAGUGCUCCAGAACUCCCACCACACACCAGAUAUUAGUGGAGAGGAGAGAGUGAUGUAGCUAAUUCAGAGGCGGAGCUUAUUAGGGGGACAUGAUAGAUAAGGGCCAACGCCAAUGAGGAUAAUUUCGCCCGGACGCCGAGGUUAUACGCCUACUCUUUACGAGAAGUGUCCUGGGAUUUUUAAUGACCAUAGAGAGUCAGGACCUCGGUUUAACGUCUCGUCUGAAGACGUUCAGACGAGAUGCUGUUUCAAAGUAAUACAUUCUAGAACUGAUUGGAAACCGGACUUUUAAUUAUCAUGCAAAUCCGUGCAACCAACCACGAGUUACACCGGUUUGAGAAAACUAAGCUCCGCCCACAAGGGCUGGCAUGUGGCGGCCAUAUUGUUUAGAAAUCUCAACAGGGUUGUGAUCAUUAUUGACUUUCAGACUCUACUGAGUAAGUAUGAUACCAAAAUUUGUCAAGGUGCAUCAAAAAAGCGUAGGACUAGUUCACGACAGUAUUACGCAAAUGAACGAGGUUUUGAGUGAAAAUGUAAAGGAGAAAAAGAUUUCUAAAGUUUUUAGGACUGUACAAAGUGGAAAAUGUUAACAUUUCAGUAAGUGGCGGUUUUCCCAGACUGCAGCACAGUUUGUAUCGUCUCUCUUUCUCACCACGCUGUGUCCUCUCUCAGCAGCUGGAUCUCCAGCAGUUUUUUGGCAGAAGCUGUGAAAGAGGUCACUAACCUCAAUCUCUGCACAUCCCUCUCUCUCUCUCUCUCUCUCUCUCAUCGCAGCAUCUCUCUUCACUUUCCUCUGCUGUUUUCAGUUUCUUUCUCUUGACAUUCAGGUUAGAAUUAAUCAGCACAAAAAGUCCUGCACAGAAGAGGAGAAGCAUUAAAUCCAUCAAAGUCGACGCUACAAUAACAUCUUUCCUUAAAAAUAUACAUGAACAGGGACAAAUAGGAAAAAUAAAAAGGAGAGCUGCAAAGUCUGCAAAGUUGGGUGUGGAUUUAUGAUGCCGUCCUGUCGUUCGUGAUAUCAUUCUUGGGAAUUGGGAAUUCACGCUGAUAUUAAACUUAAACUCAAUCAGCUGUCAGUUGUGCAUUUUCAUGGCUGUUCUCCUGAGGAAACCCAUGAGGAAGUGUAUCUCACACAGAAGACUCCAACCUGACAGCGUGGAGAGGCUGAAGCUAUCGAUCUUUUCAUCCUACAGGCAAGAGCAGCGUUUCCUUUGUGCUGAAAGGGUUAAUACUCAUGAAUAUUCUGCACCAGGGCAAUAUGAGUGUGACUCUGGGCCAUGAAUUUUAGCCCCAAGAUAAGUGAUAAGGCCAGGGUUCAGCUGCACCACCUGGUCCCAAAUAAUGCAGUUAAAUAUUUUAUAUUCACUUACAUUUGUAAGCAACUCUUUGAAUAAUACAUUGUCGACUAAAAGCGACUCCUUGAGUGAUUCACUUACAUUUGUAAACUAGUCAAGUGAUUCACAAACAUCUAUAAAUGACUCUCUAAGUGAUUCACUUACAUUUGUAAGCAACUAUUUGAAUAAUUCAUUGUCAA